GGGAACAGGGGCUUCACCUGGAGUAGCGAUUCUGAAUGCUUGUCCGUGUAGGAUUGACUUGCAUAUGGCUACCCACUCCUGACUCCAAGCAGCCAUCAUGAGAUCUGCUGUGGGCUUAUAUCAUGGCUACUGGUUUAUGAUGUCCCAGAGCUAAGAAAAGGAUAGCCGAAACCAAGCAGACUAGUACUUGAACACAAACGAUCCUGCUGAGAGGCUGAGAAUCAGUGCUCAUCAUUUCCCCCUCACUGACACUUGAAUAUAUUUUCCCAGGAGAAAACAUUAAACAAAAAGAGAAAGAGAGAAAGGGAGAGAGAGAGGGAGAGGGAGAGUGACUGAGCUAGCUUUUCAAAGCCUACUUCUCAACCUGCCCACAUCAAAAUAAGAGACAACUGGCCCUUUGAAGUCCAGGACACAGACUCCUCUACCAGCCCAUGUGGAAAUAAAAGAAUCCAGCUUUAUAAAUCACACAGAUUUCUCACCUUGCCCACAUCAA